AGGACAAAGUUUGCCUUACCAUAUGUUUCCUGAUCGUGCGAAAGCCCUUUUCUAGGGACUUGGAGAACACAAGUAUUAUGAAAAGUACUGAUGAAAGUUAUUAACAGGUUUCGAAAAAUAACUUUACUAUCUGACGUGUUGCUUCUGCCGAGGAUGACCGUUAUUCCUGUUUUUGCAUGUAUAUUUCACGUAUGGUUAAAUGUGCCAGCGUUGUGGUUUAAAACUAAUAGUAAUAAUAUGCUUCUUUGUUCAGUUGGCUAGAGAUUUACUACAUCCGUCCUUGGAAGAGGAAAAGAAAAAACAUAAAAAGAAACGCCUAGUACAAAGUCCAAAUUCUUACUUUAUGGAUGUAAAAUGUCCAGGUUGCUACAAGAUCACCACGGUUUUCAGCCAUGCUCAGACAGUGGUUCUUUGUGUAGGUUGUUCAACAGUGUUGUGCCAGCCUACAGGAGGAAAGGCCAGACUCACAGAAGGGUGUUCAUUUAGAAGAAAGCAACACUAAUGAUUCAAACAGCUUCCUGAAUUUUAAUUUUGUGUUGUCUCACAGAAAGCCUUAUCAUAAAUUCCAUAAUUCUAAUUAAUUUACCAAGAUAAUGUAAUUACAUUUGGUUUUGUAAGGUAUACAGCAGUAAUCUCCUAUUUUGGUGUCAGUUUUUCAAUAAAGUUUUGAUUAUGGGCAAA
rnacentral:lncRNA from 1 species